rnacentral:misc_RNA from 1 species
AGCAGCCGCGGUAAUUCCAGCUCCAAUAGCGUAUAUUAAAGUUGUUGCAGUUAAAAAGCUCGUAGUUGAAUUUCGGGAUCAAUUUGCCGGUCGGAACCUCUGGUACGUACUGGUAUUAUUGAUUUCUUUCAUUCUGAUAGAUCAUGGAUGUCAUUAAUUUGAUGACUUUGAGGAAUCGGAACUUUUACUUUGAAAAAUUGAGUGUUUAAAGCAGGCUUAUCAGGCUUGAAUACAUUAGCAUGGAAUAAUGAAAUAGGACGAUUGAUCCUAUUUUUGUUGGUUUCUAGGAUUGACGUAAUGAUUAAUAGGGAUAGUUGGGGGCAUUAGUAUUCAAUUGUCAGAGGUGAAAUUCUUGGAUUUAUUGAAGACUAACUACUGCGAAAGCAUUUGCCUAAGGAUGUUUUCAUUAAUCAAGAACGAAAGUUAGGGGAUCGAAGACGAUCAGAUACCGUCGUAGUCUUAACCAUAAACUAUGCCGACUAGGGAUCGGAUGGAUGUUAAUUUUAAUGUA